CCACUCAAACAGUUUGACAAGAGCUCUACCAAGGGGCAUUAACGGAGUGAUAGGUUUGGAAACACUUUGUCUAGGAGUGAAUGGCUUCACAGAGAGUAUCCUAGUGGAUUGGAAAUCUAAAUCUGCUCAAAACCUAAAUCUGGGUGUGCUUGGUUUGCGACCGGAAUCGCAAUCGGAAUGGGAAUCGAAAUGGCUAGGAAUGGGAAUCGAAAUGGCCAAAUCCCUCGAAAUGCUUGGUUCGUGACCGGAAUCGAAAUUGUAAUAAAAAUUUGAAUCCAUAGAGAAGAAUAGGAAUUGAAUUCUAUGU
rnacentral:lncRNA from 1 species